UUCAAAAGUGAAAGACGGUCUUGCUGUCACUUAUAGAUGGAUCCGCGCUGCAUUAGCUAGUUGGUAAGGUAACGGCUUACCAAGGCAACGAUGCAUAGCCGACCUGAGAGGGUGAUCGGCCACACUGGAACUGAGACACGGUCCAGACUCCUACGGGAGGCAGCAGUAGGGAAUCUUCCGCAAUGGGCGAAAGCCUGACGGAGCAACGCCGCGUGAGUGAUGAAGGUCUUCGGAUCGUAAAACUCUGUUAUUAGGGAAGAACAUAUGUGUAAGUAACUGUGCACAUCUUGACGGUACCUAAUCAGAAAGCCACGGCUAACUACGUGCCAGCAGCCGCGGUAAUACGUAGGUGGCAAGCGUUAUCCGGAAUUAUUGGGCGUAAAGCGCGCGUAGGCGGUUUUUUAAGUCUGAUGUGAAAGCCCACGGCUCAACCGUGGAGGGUCAUUGGAAACUGGAAAACUUGAGUGCAGAAGAGGAAAGUGGAAUUCCAUGUGUAGCGGUGAAAUG
rnacentral:rRNA from 1 species